CGUUCAUCCAAAAUCAUUUACUGAGCAUCUACUGUAUGCCAGAGGUGGGCGAGGUCCUGGGGGUUAAAGGCAAUUAGGAUGUAACACUGCUUUUCAGAGUCUCAUAGUCUAAAGUAGUAGUUGCUUUACUAUUUUCAGUAAUGGAAAAUAACAUUUUCAAAUCAAUUCCAAGAACAGACAUAGAUACAGCUUAGGAUAUGGCUGGUUAUUGCCUAUCCAUUGAAACAGGAUAGUGCUGUAUAGGAAGAACAGAAAUCUGAAAUUAGACUAAAGCAUUGGAGUGGAGCAGGUAUUUGGGGUACACGAAUAGUUGCAGGUGCUGGGAGGAAAUCCAGCCUAGGAGGCAAAAGUGAUAUCCAGAAUCUCUGCUAGUAAGUAGGCAAACAGUCCUUUCUGAAGGGGACGACCCAGUGAUCAAUGAGAAUAUGUGGUGAGAGAGAAUUCAGCAUCAAUAAUCUCAGAUGUCCAGGCAGGUAGAUAGUUGGCAUCCAAGAAGUUUGCCAGCAAAUCUUGAAGUGACAAGGGAUGAUUUCAGAGCUGGAUUGUAGGGGAGAGUUAAUCUGGGGCAAGUGGAAAGGGAAAAGAAUGCAAAGAGUGUGGCAUGUUUCUAGUUCUAAGAGCAUUCUUAAGGUAGAUACUUAGUCAUAAUAGAACAAGGCAGAAAGCUGGUUAAGUGAACUGGGGCAUACAGACUUCUAGGGGAAGCCCACAGCUCUGCUCUUUUCUCUUCUUGCACCCCUCCACAGGUCCCUGCACUCCCUGCUUCCGUAUCUAUGUACAUAUUUUCCCCUUAGGGAGGAAUGCUGUCAGGGAUAGAUCAAGUUCAAAGGCCCUCUUUAAGUCCUAGCACUAGAAGGUGCAACUUUCAAAAGGAUUAAAAACAGAACACAGUUGGGUGUGGAAUGUCUUGUUGCUUCCAGAAUGAUAAACCAUGGGCUUGUUCAAAGUAUGUGUGGUCAUUUCUUUUUCUCUCUUCAAAUGCUUCUCUUCUCCCACAGGCCUGGCAGUAACUCCUUGGGAAUUGCUCUCCGAAUUGCUCUUUCCACCUGCUGCCCGGUCAGCCGUGAGGAGGCACCUGUCUCUCCCGUCCUCCUGUACAUCUCCUUCUGGGUAGAGAAGAAAAUCAACAGAAGCGAAGUUGACAGCAAAGAAAACAUUUCUGCCUAUGACAAUGUGUCUGGAACCUGAAGCAUUGACCUUGAAGCACUGGUCUAUUCAUUUGUGGAUGGUUUAAUCAAUGGAUCCUUUUAACAGCUGCGUCAUUUCUCAUUGGUAUGUAACCCAAUGGCUCACCUUUGCUCUUGUUUUCUCUGUGUCUAGCUUUAUUACUUGUCAAGAGAAUGAAAGCUCUAGACCUCCACUUCUAAGGGUAUUUCCUCAAUCUCAGAAAAGCAGGGAAGAAAUGGAGUAAAAGUUGGGAAUAAAAGAGAUUAUUAAGCAAUACA
rnacentral:lncRNA from 1 species